rnacentral:lncRNA from 1 species
GGGGCGAAGCCUUGGAGGUUCUUUGGUAAGGAGGUUCUUUGGAGAUGCAGGAGUCGCAUCUUGCAGUGUCAGGGGUUUAAAUUAAACCGGGGGUGGGAGGGUGCAGAGGGGGGAGGAGAGAGACCAUCCCGGCGCCUGCAGCGUUGACUCCUGGCAUCAUCUGGGUGCAGGGACCCAGCUGACACUUCUUAUUUCGGGUCCUGCCUCACCAGCAGCAGUCUGCAACUUGCCGGCAUCCAGGCAGGACAUGCAGCCACUGAGCGGAGGAAAGAGGUCCCCAGAGGCUGAAAGUGGCUGCUCUCCCGAGGCGUCCCUGCCAGGCCUGUGGGAGAGACACAGCUCCGGCAAAGAAGCUCGGUGGAGGGAAUGCUGGCCCCCGGUCUCUCUGGAGCGAGGGGACUCCACGGAUCGGGGACAGGAGACACGCGUCUCCAGCCCCGGGGCCCGGCUGUGCGCGCAGGAGGGAGGACCCAGAGCGGGCUCUGCCUGGGCUUGCCUGGGCUUGUUCAGAGCCAGGCUGCUUGCCUCGGUGACUGCGCGGAUCCGGGGAGAUUUCGAGAUUUUGCGGGAGCCUUGGAACCAAGCCCCGGGGAGGAGGCGGCUGGAAGCCCGCGCGACCUGCUCGCCCCGUCCAAGGGUGAGCCCAGUGGCUCUCCGAGGAGGCUCAGUGUAAUUGGCUGCCUUCUGAAGCAGGCGGUUGAACUUGAGCAGUGGUUGGGAUGCCUGGACCCGCUCCCCAGGCACCACCUGUGGCCUCACACUCAGCCAGUGCUGAGAGCUCCAUGCUCACUGUCGACUUGGCUGGACAAGAAGCUAGUUCCAGCCUCCAAGGACUCCAGUUGCCACCAGCCCCACUAG